AACGAACGCUGGCGGCAUGCCUAACACAUGCAAGUCGAACGGUUGUUUCCUGCUUGCUCCUGGAUUCAGCGGCGGACGGGGGGGUAAUGCCGGGGGAGUUGCCUGUUAGCGGCGUAUAACGUCCGGAGACGGGAGAUUAUACCACAUACGUCCAUACCGCGAAAGUGGGUGUGCCUCGGACCACACGCUUGCAGGGCAGCCUAGGGCGGAUUAGCUGGUUGGAGGGGUAAUGGCUAACCAAGGCGGGGAGGCAAAACUGACCUGAGGGGGUGAUCCAUAACCCGGGAACUGAGACAGGGCCCAGACUCCGACGGGAGGCAACAGUAGGGAAUCUUAGGCAAGGGACGAAAGUCUAACCGAGCAACGCGGGGUGAGUGAAGAAGGUUUUCGGAUCGGAAAGCUCUGUAGUUAGAGAAGAAGAAGAACGUUAGUAACUGAGCGUCUCCUGACGGUACCUAACGAGAAAGCCACGGCUAACUACGUG
rnacentral:rRNA from 1 species